rnacentral:tRNA from 1 species
UAGCUCAGUGGUAGAGUGCAUGCUUAGCAUGCAUGAGGUCCUGGGUGCAAUUCCCAA